rnacentral:rRNA from 1 species
UACGUAGGGUGCGAGCGUUAAUCGGAAUUACUGGGCGUAAAGCGUGCGCAGGCGGCUUUGCAAGACAGAUGUGAAAUCCCCGGGCUCAACCUGGGAACUGCAUUUGUGACUGCAUGGCUAGAGUGCGGCAGAGGGGGGGAUGGAAUUCCGCGUGUAGCAGUGAAAUGCGUAGAUAUGCGGAGGAACACCGAUGGCGAAGGCAAUCCCUGGGCCUGCACUGACGCUCAUGCACGAAAGCGUGGGGAGCAAACAGG